rnacentral:lncRNA from 1 species
AAAAAAGAUUUCAAUCUUGCUUUAUGAAAUCCUGACUUAAAAUCCUCCCUGCCCUCAGCAGCCAACCCCCCUCUGCUGCAUUAUGACUGCUCUUCACCCCACGUGCUUUCCAGUCUGAGCUACCCUGCCCAGCACCACUCCAGCCAAACUCCCAGCUUCUCACCCCAUAUCUGUACAGUAUCUGGCACUAAGAAGACAAAUAUGGCAGCCUUCCUCACCAGCUCCUGAAGCUGAAAAAAAAUGUGAGGAACCCAGACUGUGAUUGAUCUGCUUCUUUAGGUAAGUUUUGAAUAAAUGGCAGCUGUCUGAUGCUGGGUGAGAGUAGAAGAGUUUGUUAUCCUACCCACAUCUACAACAAAAUAAACCCAAGAUUUACCAGAAUAGGGAAAGCCAUGUGAGCACAGGCUGAUGUUUACAAUAUUUGCAGCAUCCAGCUUUCUCCAGUUAGAUGACACCAGUUAAGAAAACCAACAAAUUGCACAGAUUUUUCUGUUUCUACUCCCAGCAAUAUUACUGCCGAUGGGGGCUAGGUUGAAGGCAACAACAAACCAAAGGAAACUUUAGCGAACGUGGAGUGACAUGGCUGCAGCCCAAGUCGCCAUUCAGAGUGUAAUUCCACUCCACUGAGGACUCAGAAGGUUUGGUUGCAGCAGAUAAACAAGUCGCUAUGUUAUCCUGAAGUGUGACAAAUGCCACCACAAUGCUGCCUGGAGAAGAAGAGACUGAACACAAGAUUCAAGCUCAAUUCCUACCUGAGAAUGCUGAAGAAAAAGAAUCUCAGCACUCUGCCAGAAAAUGUUGAGGGUGCAAGCAGUGGGAUUUGGAUUCCCUCUACUGUAAUCCAAUGGACUUUAGACAAAUCACUUUGGGUAUGUCUAUAUUAAGAGAGUAAAGGCUCAAAACACCACAACAAUUCCUCUGGUGCCUCUCUAGGCCAGGAAGAAGAAGCAAGAGGGAAGUGCAAAGUAAACUUUAGAUCACUGAUGGCAUUUGGAAGUGUAUUUCCUUUUGAUAUAAUAUCUCAGGUACAGUUCUGUAUCAG